rnacentral:rRNA from 1 species
GACGAACGCUGGCGGCGCGCCUAACACGUGCAAGUCGAACGAGCGAGAGGAGGUUUACUUUCUCAAGCGAGUGGCGAACGGGUGAGUAACGCGUGAGGAACCUGCCUCAAAGAGGGGGACAACAGUUGGAAACGACUGCUAAUACCGCAUAAGCCCACGACCCGGCAUCGGGUAGAGGGAAAAGGAGCAAUCCGCUUUGAGAUGGCCUCGCGUCCGAUUAGCUAGUUGGUGAGGUAAUGGCCCACCAAGGCGACGAUCGGUAGCCGGACUGAGAGGUUGAACGGCCACAUUGGGACUGAGACACGGCCCAGACUCCUACGGGAGGCAGCAGUGGGGAAUAUUGCACAAUGGGGGAAACCCUGAUGCAGCGACGCCGCGUGGAGGAAGAAGGUCUUCGGAUUGUAAACUCCUGUUGUUGAGGAAGAUAAUGACGGUACUCAACAAGGAAGUGACGGCUAACUACGUG